CGGUGGAUGAGGUAGCCAACACUGUUGUUAUAUAUAUAUAUAUAUAUAUAUAUAUAUAUAUAUAUAUUUUAAUUGGGGUAGCCCCCAAAAUAUUGGGACAUAUAAAAAAAGACAACUCUGUUCUACAGAGUAGCUGUUGACAUUAUAGUUGCGCAGGAACUUUGUUGUCUCUAGAGAACCUUGGGCAAAUCGCACAUCCCUGUGGCAGCGACUUUGCAUGCGGAUGUCAUCCAUAUCAACUUUCAAUGUCAGUUUCUGCGCCUGCCAUGGUGACCAUGGGUAUUGGGAUAUCAGGGUUCCAUUCGGUACAGGAACCCUGAAAAACGGCUACCACAUGCAAGGAAGGCAACAGGCGCGCAAAUGACCCACUCCCAACGCGGGAAGGUAGUGAUGACAAAUAACAAUACAGGACUCUUUAGAGGCCCUGUAAUUGUAAUGAGUCCACUUAAAAUACUUUAACUCUGAUCAAUUGUUGGGAAGUCUGGUGCAGAGCCACU